UUAGAUCUACAUGCAAGUCCAUCAUCUUUUUUCGCUUCAAUUGUUAUAUAUUAUUUUAAUAAACAUCGAGUACCACCCAGAUAGUUCGGUAAAAUUGUAAGCUGUGAUCACUGCGAAUAAGAUAAAGGAAUCGAAGGAUAAACUAUAAUUAACACAGGCUCCUGCCCCGGCUUAGGAUUUUCUAAAUGUAACUCUUCUGCAAGGUCCCUAAGGAAUGUUUUAUAUAAAAAUAUAAAAGAAUCUUUAGUGAUGCGACUAAGACUAUGUAAUAAACAAAAAAAACAAGAUGGAAUGCUAUAGUCGAAAUCCCCGACUAUCAGAUACCCGUUACUCAGCUAGUGUGAAUGCGAACGCGAAAUUUCAUUAAAAAAAACAAGAGGGAACGCUAUAGUCAAGUUCCCCGACUAUCAGAUACCCGUUACUCAGCCAGUGGGAAUGCG
ensembl:ncRNA lncRNA:CR45187 long non-coding RNA:CR45187